CUCCUAUCGGCUCCCGACAACGCCAUGAAGUCUGAACGGAUCCACUUUUCUCUGUGCCUCAUCUUUUCCCUGCCCUUCCAUACAUUUUCAGGGAUUCUCUUUCCCGAAUAUCUCAGAAAAGAACUGUGUAAAACCUCACACCUUGGAUGUAAGGCAAAAUCGGAGGGGUCCCCCGGGAGGGGACUGUGAAGGGGGAGGGGGUCUAGGCAGCCUGGGGACGUCGCUGCCCAUCAGUGAGAAUCAAGUCCUCCUCCGUCUCCCACCGUAUGGUUCUAGAGCAUCCGCUUGCAGGAGUUACGUUAAGUUCCGCCUACAGAUGGGAGACGGAGGAGACGGAGGGAGACAGAGGGGAGAAUCGACCCAAGUUUUUUCCAAGAGACUUCAGUGUAAGAGGAAUGGAGCUUAGGAUCAUUGGGUCCAUGUCAGGAGUGUCCAGGAAAUUCCUUUAGUGGUGCGUAUAUGUCUGGGCGAGAGCGAGUGUGAGUGUGUGUGUGCGUGUGUGUCACAUGAGUGUCCAUUCUAUUUAACACACUUGUACAGGACCGCUGUGUUCCUUUCUGCAGAUAGAGGGCAGCAGAGGCCAGCAUUCACAUGCUUAGGGCGCUGGCAUUCUACUUAUUUAAAUUAAUUUGCUCAAUUCAUAUUCUAGUGGACAUGUCUGAAGCACUCAGGGUAAAGAGACAAACUGCCCAUUGUGGCUAAGGGCUGUAGUUGAACUUCAAGAAUACUGACACUAACGCUUUCUUUGUCUCCAAUAUGGUCAUCAUGGCUCUCCCUCUAACCUCCUUGGUCUCAGUGAGAAAUGAAAUCUGCAACUACCCCCCAUUGUUCGGCACCUGCAAAUUAACUUUGACCCGAUAUUACUACAACACCUUGACAUUUUUGUGUGAGCCCUUCAUGUUCUCUGGCUGUGGAGGCAACAGAAACAACUUUAAACAAAAAUACAUCUGUGAAAAGAUGUGUAUUCUGAAAAGCAGGAAAAAGUAAGCUUAAUACGACAGAAGGAAGAAAUAAGGAAGAGGAAAACGUAUGCCCAAAUUAUUCUGAGUAAAUAAAUUGGACUAUUGCUAGAAGUUUUUUGAAUUC
rnacentral:lncRNA from 1 species